rnacentral:rRNA from 1 species
AAAAUACGGGAGGCAGCAGUGAGGAAUAUUGGUCAAUGGGCGAGAGCCUGAACCAGCCAAGUAGCGUGCAGGAUGACGGCCCUAUGGGUUGUAAACUGCUUUUAUGCGGGGAUAAAGUGCAGGACGUGUCCUUCAUUGCAGGUACCGCAUGAAUAAGGACCGGCUAAUUCCGUGCCAGCAGCCGCGGUAAUUUUU